rnacentral:rRNA from 1 species
UACGUAGGGGGCAAGCGUUGUCCGGAAUCAUUGGGCGUAAAGAGCGCGUAGGCGGCCCGGUAAGUCCGCUGUAAAAGUCCAGGGCUCAACCCUGGAAAGCCGGUGGAUACUGUCGGGCUAGAGUGCGGGAGAGGCGAGUGGAAUUCCAGGUGUAGCGGUGAAAUGCGUAGAUAUCUGGAGGAACACCGGUGGCGAAGGCGGCAUUCUGGACCGAAACUGACGCUGAGGCGCGAAAGCCAGGGGAGCAAACGGGG